CGUAUGCGACCUGCCCCCUACAGGGGUAUAACCCGUAGAAAUGCGGACUAAUCCCCCAUAGUCCUGAGUGCUGCAUGGCAUUCAGGGGAAAGGGUUUCCGGUAGGGGAUGGGCAUGCGGCGCAUUAGCUAGUUGGCGGGGCAACGGCCCACCAAGGCGACGAUGCGUAGGGGUUCUGAGAGGAAGGUCCCCCACACUGGUACUGAGACACGGACCAGACUCCUACGGGAGGCAGCAGUGAGGAAUAUUGGUCAAUGGGCGCAGGCCUGAACCAGCCAAGUCGCGUGAGGGAGGACGGUCCUACGGAUUGUAAACCUCUUUUGUCGGGGAGUAACGUGCGGGACGGGUCCCGUAUUGAGAGUACCCGAAGAAAAAGCAUCGGCUAACUCCGUGCCAGCAGCCGCGGUAAUACGGAGGAUGCGAGCGUUAUCCGGAUUUAUUGGGUUUAAAGGGUGCGCAGGCGGCGCGCCAAGUCAGCGGUCAAAGUUCCGGGCUCAACC
rnacentral:rRNA from 1 species